AUUAGUUUUUUAAUUGAAGGCUAGAAUGAAUGGUUGGACAAGAAAUAAUCUGUCUUAAAUUAAUAUAUUGAAUUUAACUUUUAAGUGAAAAGGCUUAAAUAAUUUGAAGGGACGAUAAGACCCUAUAAAACUUUAUAUUCAUAAAUUAGUAGUUAUUUUUAUUUUAAAGUAUUGUUUUAGAAUAUUUGGUUGGGGUGGCAAGGAUAAAAUAUUUAAUAACUGUCUUUUUUUUUUACAAUAAUGUUUGGUUUAAUGAUCCUAAAAGGGAUUUAAGAUUAAGUUACUUUAGGGAUAACAGCGUAAUUUUCUUUGAGAGUUCUUAUCGACAAGAAAGUUUGCGACCUCGAUGUUGAAUUAAAAAUUCUUUAUAGAGUAGAGGCUAUAAGAGAAGGUCUGUUCGACCUUUAAAAUUUUACAUGAUUUGAGUUCAAACCGGUGUGAG
rnacentral:rRNA from 1 species